AUUGAACGCUGGCGGCAUGCCUUACACAUGCAAGUCGAACGGUAACAGGUCUUCGGAUGCUGACGAGUGGCGAACGGGUGAGUAAUACAUCGGAACGUGCCCGAGAGUGGGGGAUAACGAGGCGAAAGCUUUGCUAAUACCGCAUACGAUCUCAGGAUGAAAGCAGGGGACCGCAAGGCCUUGCGCUCACGGAGCGGCCGAUGGCAGAUUAGGUAGUUGGUGGGAUAAAAGCUUACCAAGCCGACGAUCUGUAGCUGGUCUGAGAGGACGACCAGCCACACUGGGACUGAGAGACGGCCCAGACUCCUACGGGAGGCAGCAGUGGGGAAUUUUGGACAAUGGGCGCAAGCCUGAUCCAGCCAUGCCGCGUGCGGGAUGAAGGCCUUCGGGUUGUAAACUGCUUUUGUACGGAACGAAAAGACUCUGGUUAAUACCUGGGGUCCAUGACGGUACCGUAAGGAUAAGCACCGGCUAACUACGUGCCAGCAGCCGCGGUAAGAC
rnacentral:rRNA from 1 species